CAUUUAAUGAAAAGGAGUCAAGGUCACACUGAGGGUGGGGGAGGUGCCUGGAGCACAAGUGAGCUUUGUGACUGCGGCCGCGGCAGCCCGGGACCAGGAGCCUAAGGAGAGUGCAGAAGGCUGGCCCGCUCACUGGAGAGCAGGAGCAUACGUUGACUGGAGGGAUAUAGGAGGAAUUUUGUCAGUUUCAAGGGCCUAUUUAAGGAUUUAUCUGAUUUGCUACUAUGGUCUUAGGUUGACUGUAAUUUAUUGCAUGUGUCUUAAACUUCUCAUUACCCUUAGUUGUACUGUAAAAUUCUUUUGACUUCUUCUCAAUGUCUAGGACAGUGUUGAGAAAGCAUUUAGGAAAUACUUUUGGACUGAUUAACUAGAAUGCUCAAUUAAUCAGACUAUCUCAGUUCCCAACAUUUCUGGAUAAAGGAAGUUUAUUAUAACUAGGUUGUAAAAGGCAACUGUAAUAAUUUGUAUUUCUCUCCCCAAUCCUGAUUUUGGUAGUUUUCCAUUAAAAAAAAAAAAACAACAAACAAAGCAGUUAUAGAGUAUCUGGUUAUCUUUGUGUGUGUGUGUGUGUGUGUGUGUGUGUGUUUACAAUAUUUAUAUUGUAUUUUUCACUUUUUCAUUUUUAUUUGAUUGUUCUACCUUUAGGCAGACACAGACAUGGAAUAAAGAAAAGAAAGGCCAAAUUUUGACCUAAUACCCUAGCAUGGGAAUUGUAGAUACAUUUUCAUUCUCUUCCUGCAUUUAGAGUAUCUGUUUUCAAGUUUAAAAGGAAAACAAUAACAAAAAGACCUUCUCCUCCCGCAAAAGUUAAAAAAAAAAAGCUUCAACCCUCUCUUUUAUGUUGAGGAUAAUAAAAACCUCACCAUUUGAUUUUAUACAUCUAUUACCAAUGGAGUAAACAUUCAAACUGGAGUGUGGAACAGUGAGAAACUGUGGUCCUUUCGGAGGAAGUAGAUGGUGAAAUAAGACAGGAGGGGUGACUCUGCUCAGAGAUAAGGAGGCUCCUGCCAAAUUCCUUCCCUGCCUGCUAUGGUCCACAAAUAUGCGUGUGGUUGCAGCUGAACUUCACUGAGUCCUUGCUGCAUUCCAGAGGCUGAUAAAAAAAAUGUGACCAUUUAGCUACAGAUGUAACUCUCCGAGUACUAGAAGCAUAGCAACCAGGAGGGAGUUUCACCCAGCAACAAUCAGAAAGUGGAAAACAAAGCAACCCAGUCACCAAAACAUAAUCCAGACAGACUACAGAAAGAAGGAAACACCCGGGCAGACGAGAUGUUCUGUGUCGGAAUCAAGUCAGCAGUGUCACAAGACUCGUAGUUGCCCACCCAUAUUUAGUGGGUGCCUGCUGUGUGCCAGUACUUCACCCGAAUUACUGCCAGAGUUAUCCAACUCUCAAGUUGAAUAAGCAACAGUCCCUGUCUUCAGUAAAAUAAUGAUAAUAUAUAUUUAAUUCCCCAGCUGUAUUGUGCGAUAAAUGCAAAUAUAAACCAUCAUCAAAGGAUCAUGGCAGCACAGAGGGUUGAGGGGCAUGGGGCUGUGUUUAAUUUGAGAUGUUUGGGGACACUCCAGUGGAUCUACUCAUUUGGCAGUUGGAUGUACAGGCCAGAGGUUAGAGCAGAUGUAUAGGUGGUGGAGGAAGUCAGGGGUUUGGAGAAAGCCGUGGAGAAACUCAUGAAAAUGAGUGAAGCGUUGUAUGGAGCUUCACACUCUAUGGAGCGUUGACAAUUAAAAAGGGAAGAGUAGAUGGAAGCGGGUAGGAGUAAACCAGGAAACAGAAGCCAUGGGCAGGGAGGGAAGAGAAAUCAUCAAGAAGUAUCCAGUGCAUCUCAGUACUCAAAGUCCAUAUUGAGUUGACAUUCAUCAAAACAGCUUAGAGCAGUGCCUGAAGGAAGCCACACUUCCAGCCUUGAGAAGUCACUGAGGUUGAGGAAGGAGGGAAAACAAACACAAGUAUUUUCCUGGUAUUGUAAAGAAAAAGGUAGCAACCUUUGCAAUGGCAUGGUGCCCUCUGACACACCCUCGCUAGCAGCUAUUUGAGUAAUCAUUCUAGGCUCUAUUGCAAGACUUUCCCCUAAUUAAUAAGAUCUGUGAUCAAACACUGAGAAGCCAGGAGAGAGGGCAAGUGAACUGACACUUUCUAGCAGUUAUCAGGUGCAAAGUCCUUUCUAUCCAUGAUUUCAUUUAAUUCCCACAACAAAUCUUUUAAUAGAGUUAUCCUUUGUGGUUCAAGAACUGAAGUAAUGACAGAAGUGACGAGUAAGUUAAGUGGGAAUUUUACUAACCUCAACUGUUAUCAUCUUGCUUUGAUUUUGUAGCUUCAGGAAGACCUUUCAUUACUCUUGCUUACGGUCUUCCAGGUGUUGAAAAGCACUGGGCCACUGACUGACUGUGAUUUACCUGACCACUGCUUUUAGAUCGGCAACCCACUCCAGU
ensembl:lncRNA